UACGGAGGAUGCGAGCGUUAUCCGGAUUUAUUGGGUUUAAAGGGUGCGCAGGCGGAAUGUCAAGUCAGCGGUAAAAUUUCGGGGCUCAACCCCGUCGUGCCGUUGAAACUGGCAGACUUGAGUUGGCGAGAAGUACGCGGAAUGCGCGGUGUAGCGGUGAAAUGCAUAGAUAUCGCGCAGAACUCCGAUUGCGAAGGCAGCGUACCGGCGCCACACUGACGCUGAUGCGCGAAAGCGUGGGGAGCAAACAGG
rnacentral:rRNA from 1 species